AGUGAACGCUGGCGGUAGGCCUAACACAUGCAAGUCGAACGGCAGCACAGUAAGAGCUUGCUCUUACGGGUGGCGAGUGGCAGACGGGUGAGGAAUACAUCGGAAUCUACUUUUUCGUGGGGGAAAACGUAGGGAAACUUACGCUAAUACCGCAUACGACCUACGGGUGAAAGCAGGGGAUCUUCGGACCUUGCGCGAUUGAAUGAGCCGAUGUCGGAUUAGAUAGUUGGCGGGGUAAAAGCCCACCAAGGCGACGAUCCGUAGCUGGUCUGAGAGGAUGAUCAGCCACACUGGAACUGAGACACGGUCCAGAGUCCUACGGGAGGCAGCAGUGGGGAAUAUUGGACAAUGGGCGCAAGCCUUAUCCAGCCAUACCGCGUGGGUGAAGAAGGCCUUCGGGUUGUAAAGCCCUUUUGUUGGGAAAGAAAAGCAGCAGGUUAAUACCCCGCUGUUCUGACGGUACCCACAGAAUAAGCACCGGCUAACUUCGUG
rnacentral:rRNA from 1 species